CCUACGGGUGGCAGCAGUGAGGAAUAUUGGUCAAUGGGCGCGAGUCUGAACCAGCCAAGCCGCGUGAAGGAUGACUGCCCUACGGGUUGUAAACUUCUUUUAUAAAGGAAUAAAGUGAGGCACGUGUGCCUGUUUGUGUGUACUUUAUGAAUAAGGAUCGGCUAACUCCGUGCCAGCAGCCGCGGUAAUACGGAGGAUCCGAGCGUUAUCCGGAUUUAUUGGGUUUAAAGGGAGCGUAGAUGGGUUGUUAAGUUAGAGGUGAAAGUUUGCGGCUCAACCGUAAAAUUGCAUUUGAUACUGGCAGUCUUGAGUAGAGUUGAGGUAGGCGGAAUGCGUGGUGUAGCGGUGAAAUGCUGAGAGAUCACGAAGAACUCCGAUUGCGAAGGCAGCUUACCAAACUGCCACUGACGUUGAGGCACGAAAGCGUGGGUAUCAAACAGGAUUAGAUACCCGAGUAGUC
rnacentral:rRNA from 1 species